GAGUUUGAUCCUGGCUCAGGAUGAACGCUGGCGGCGUGCUUAACACAUGCAAGUCGAACGAAGCAUUUACGGAAGAAGUUUUCGGAUGGAAUCUGUAUCUGACUGAGUGGCGGACGGGUGAGUAACGCGUGGGUAACCUGCCCUGUACAGGGGGAUAACAGUUAGAAAUGACUGCUAACACCGCAUAAGCGCACGGAGCUGCAUGGCUCAGUGUGAAAAACUCCGGUGGUAUAUGAUGGACCCGCGUCUGAUUAGCUUGUUGGCGGGGUAACGGCCCACCAAGGCGACGAUCAGUAGCCGGCCCGAGAGGGUGGACGGCCACAUUGGGACUGAGACACGGCCCAAACUCCUACGGGAGGCAGCAGUGGGGAAUAUUGGACAAUGGGGGGAACCCUGAUCCAGCGACGCCGCGUGAGUGAAGAAGUAUCUCGGUAUGUAAAGCUCUAUCAGCAGGGAAGAAAGAAAUGACGGUACCUGACCAAGAAGCCCCGGCUAACUACGUGCCAGCAGCCGCGGUAAUACGUAGGGGGCAAGCGUUAUCCGGAUUUACCGGGUGUAAAGGGAGCGUAGACGGUAAUGCAAGUCUGGAGUGAAAUGCAGGGGCUCAACCCCUGAACUGCUUUGGAAACUGUAUGACUGGAGUGCAGGAGAGGUAAGUGGAAUUCCUAGUGUAGCG
rnacentral:rRNA from 1 species